GUGCUUGCUUUGGCAGCCCAUAUUCUGAAAUUGGAACAAUACGGAGAAGAUUAGCAUGGCC
ensembl:snRNA U6 U6 spliceosomal RNA